rnacentral:misc_RNA from 1 species
UCACCCCCAGUCUCAUGAUAUUUAAGCAUUGGAGGAGGCAAAACUCGGGCAUUUAUGAAUGUAAGCUCUUCCUUAACUUGAAUACCAAAUUCAUUCCUCACAAGCUCAUCUCUGCUGUAAUUAUUCUGCCUAACGAUCCGCUUGAUGCUAUUUUCUCGCUCAUGAGGGCGUUGACAGGUUGCUUUUAACAGUGCAAUUACUUGUCGUAGAUUCAAAUUCCUUGAGUACCUCUGUCCUUCAACAAUCCUACAAAGCUCCAU